GGAACGAAUCGGAACGAGGAGUAACGAAACCCCAGGCGAAACCCUAUUUUGCCUGGUUAAGGCAGGGGUUCGAAUCCCCUUAGCUCCACCA
rnacentral:tRNA from 1 species